GAGGAUGCGAGCGUUAUCCGGAUUUAUUGGGUUUAAAGGGUGCGUAGGCGGCGUUCCAAGUCAGCGGUAAAAUUGCGGGGCUCAACCCCGCCGAGCCGUUGAAACUGGCGCGCUUGAGUGGGCGAGAAGUAUGCGGAAUGCGUGGUGUAGCGGUGAAAUGCAUAGAUAUCACGCAGAACCCCGAUUGCGAAGGCAGCAUACCGGCGCCCGACUGACGCUGAAGCACGAAAGCGUGGGUAUCGAA
rnacentral:rRNA from 1 species